CGCCCCUUGCAUUGGAAGCCCGGAGUCUUAACCAGUGGACUGCCCGAGAAGUCCCAGCAUUGUUUACUGUAAAUGGAAGAUUCAUGAUGCCCGUCUGGUGCCUGAUUUGGGGUCUUCACCACGGCUGGUCAUGUAGCAGGUGCUAUUAUUGACCCCAUUUUGCAGAUGAGGAAAUUGAGGCACAGAGGAGCUAAAUGACUUGCCUGAAGGUCACACAGCCAGGAAGCGGUGGAGCUGGGAUUUGAACCCAGCACCCACAGUGAUAGCCUGUAUGGUACACUCCCUCACUCUCAAACGACCGUCACUGAUCAUGACAGAUGGAGGGUAGGAAGACAGCUCGCAUCUGCUGGACAUCCUCACCCACCUGAACAGGCCUGCUGUCUUUGAGAUCACUAAGUCCUCUCUUCCUGCAGUGGGGGAAUAUUACACCCCCAGGAACCUCAGCAUGUGGCCUGAUUUGGAAAGAGGGGCUUUGCAGAUGUAAAUGGUUAAGAUGGGGUCCUACUG